CUUUAAUUUGCUCCCCAUCUUCCCAUUAUCUUGUCUUUCAACAACUAAAAAUAGAUAGAUAAAGGGGGGAACAAAAAGGAACUCCAGCACUCAAUCUUCUAGCUAUCUACUGCAACUCAUGAUGUCUUGUAUCGCUGAAGAUGUUGAUACGAAACACAGAAUUAAUGGAGCGUUGUAUUCCGCUAUAAUGGAAGCUGACAAGGAGAAGGUGCUAGAACUGUGCCUCAAAGUGUCUGAUCAUGCAUUGCACAGAAUAACAGUAAAUGAUGAUACUGUUCUCCACAUGGCUACAUACGCCAAGGAAGCUGAUUUGGUACUCAAAUUGCUAGAUGAGUUGCCUGAACAUCAUCUAGAUAAGAUGACGCGCCAAAAUGGUGUUGGAAGCACUAUCCUCCAUGAAGCUGCCACAAACAACUAUGCGAUCCCUAUUGCUGAGAAACUGUUAAAGAAAGCGCCUGGAUUGUUAGGGAUGCGUAACAACAAUGGAAAGACUGCUCUAUUUCGGGCUGCCCGCUAUGGAAACACUGCAAUGUUCAAGUUUCUUGGUUCUAAAAUAACCCAAUAUGACCAAGUUAGUCAGCAAUUCUAUCUUCAGAGGAAUAUUGAUAAAACCACUGUUCUCCACAUUGCCAUUAUUUCUCAGCACUUUGAGUUGGCGGUGCACAUUGCUAAGGAGUACAAACAGUUAAUUGGUGAAAAAGACUCGGAUGGGAUGACUGCACUUCAACUUCUUGCAUGUGAACCAUCAGCUUUUAAAAUCGAUCGUGAAGAAGGAUUCAUCAACUUAAUUAAAUGGUGCUGCAGUCCUGCCUGGCGGAGGAAGAUUCAGAACGAUAAACAAAAAUACAAAUUAGCUGUGGAGCUUCUGAAGUUUUUAGUUAAAAGAGAUACCUCAUGGGAAGCCUCAUAUUCUGCUGCAGAUAAGAGCAAGCCUAAAAUACAUAGAUAUGGUGGUGGUGCUGAUGCCUCUUCUAUGGUAAAGGAAGCUGCAGCAGAAGGGUCUUCUGCAAGCACUCAAGGGCAAAAAGAAGACAUUGGAGAAACUCCUUUGAUUUUAGCCACGAAGUCAGGUUGUGUGGAGAUUGCGAAAGAAAUACUCAGAGUCUAUCCUCAGGCAGUUGAGCAUAUCGAUGAUGAAGGACGAAACGUAUUGCAUGUAGCCAUUAAAUAUCGACAAUUGAAGAUUUUUGAGUCUGUGAAAGAAAUGGAAGUGCCCAUGGGUAGGCUUGUUCGAAAAGUUGACAAUAAUGGGAACACUAUUCUGCAUACUGUCGCAUUGAAAAGAAAAGAUUUUGUAGUUGAGAAGGUGGAAGGUCCUGCGCUGCUAUUACAAGAGGAGUUACUAUGGUUUGAGAGGAUGCAAGAAAUAACUCCACCCCAUUUCAUGUAUCACCAAAACAAUAUGAAGCUCGCUGCGGAUGAGUUUUUCAAUAGCGUAAAUUCAGAACUUCGAAGUGCAGGCAAAGAAUGGCUGAAGAGCACAGCAGAGGGAUGCUCCGUUGUGGCAGUUCUGAUAGCUACUGUCGCAUUUGCUGCGGCCUACACUGUACCAGGCGGAAACCAGAGCAACGGCCUUCCUGUUCUCUUGAAUCACCCAUUAUUUGUGGUUUUCACAGUCACAGACGUACUCUCUUUGAAUUUCGCAUUAACAGCAGUUGUAACAUUUCUCUCAAUCCUUUCAUCACCGUUCAGAUUCAAAGACUUCAAGCGGUCCCUUCCUAAUAAGUUGAUGCUAGGCUUCACAUUUUUGUUCCUGUCUGUGGCCAUGAUGAUGAUGUCGUUUGGAGCGACAAUCUUCCUUAUGAUUCACAGCAAGGAAAGUUGGACUAAAAUCGCUCUGUAUGCCCUUUCCUUUAUUCCAGUGGGCAUCUUUGCCCUGUCUUAUUUUAACCUUUAUUCAUCAUUGUCAAAAACUUACAAAUACUUGCUUGGAAAGGCAAGACAAGCAGCUCCUUUGAGCACAUGCAUGGUAUCCGAUGACAAGAAACUCGACUCCUUCAGAGCAUCAUCUCGUACUCACAUUUCAUUGGUCUGAAAGUUCAUUGUUGUGACCUGUACGUGUGGAGUACUAUACAACAAACUACAGACUGGAUUGAAUAAAGGGGAAAGAUCUAAAUAGUCCCUGAGGCUUAAUAGUGGGUGCUUAGCGUUGCAAGGAUUUCUCAAAUAAUGAUAAAUUUUAGUUGCCGCUGCUGAGUAUUAACUUCAACUAACUAACGUGUUUUUUCUAUAACUGACCUGUUA
rnacentral:misc_RNA from 1 species